UACGAAGGGGGCUAGCGUUGCUCGGCAUCACUGGGCGUAAAGCGCACGUAGGCGGCUUUCUAAGUCGGAGGUGAAAUCCUGGAGCUCAACUCCAGAACUGCCUUUGAUACUGGAGAGCUUGAGUUCGGGAGAGGUGAGUGGAACUGCGAGUGUAGAGGUGAAAUUCGUAGAUAUUCGCAAGAACACCAGUGGCGAAGGCGGCUCACUGGCCCGGUACUGACGCUGAGGUGCGAAAGCGUGGGGAGCAAACAGG
rnacentral:rRNA from 1 species